AGAGUUUGAUCAUGGCUCAGAUCGUACGCUGGCGGCACGCCUAACACAUGCAAGUCGAACGAAGUAGCAAUACUUAGUGGCAGACGGGUGAGUAACAUGUGGGUAUCUGCCCUUUGGCCUGGAAUAACACGAGGAAACUUGUGCUAACACCGGAUAAGUCUUUACGGAGAAAGCUUUAUGCACCAUUGGAUGAGCCUGCACUUGAUUAGUUUGUUGGUGGGGUAAUGGCCUACCAAGACUGUGAUCAAUAGCUGAUUUGAGAGGAUGAUCAGCCACAUUGGGACUGAGACACGGCCCAAACUCCUACGGGAGGCAGCAGUGGGGAAUCUUGCACAAUGGAGGAAACUCUGAUGCAGCGAUGCCGCGUGAGUGAAGAAGGCCCUUGGGUUGUAAAGCUCUUUCGUCGGGGAAGAAAAUGACUGUACCCGAAUAAGAAGGUCCGGCUAACUUCGUGCCAGCAGCCGCGGUAAUACGAAGGGACCUAGCGUAGUUCGGAAUUACUGGGCUUAAAGAGUACGUAAGUGGUUGAAAAAGUUAGUGGUGAAAUCCCAGAGCUUAACUCUGGAACUGCCAUUAAAACUUUCAAGCUAGAGUAUGAUAGAGGAAAGCAGAAUUUCUAGUGUAGAGGUGAAAUUCGUAGAUAUUAGAAAGAAUACCAAUUGCGAAGGCAGCUUUCUGGAUCAUUACUGACACUGAGGAACGAAAGCAUGGGUAGCGAAGAGGAUUAGAUACCCUCGUAGUCCAUGCCGUAAACGAUGUGUGUUAGACGUUGGAAAUUUAUUUUCAGUGUCGCAGCGAAAGCGAUAAACACACCGCCUGGGGAGUACGACCGCAAGGUUAAAACUCAAAUGAAUUGACGGGGACCCGCACAAGUAGUGGAGCAUGUGGUUUAAUUCGAAGAUACGCGCAGAACCUUACCAACACUUGACAUGUUCGUCGCGACUCUAAGAGAUUAGAGUUUUCGGUUCGGCCGGACGAAACACAGGUGCUGCAUGGCUGUCGUCAGCUCGUGUCGUGAGAUGUUGGGUUAAGUCCCGCAACGAGCGCAACCCUCACUUUUAGUUGCCAUCAUUAAGUUGGGCACUCUGAAAGAACUGCCAGUGAUAAGCUGGAGGAAGGUGGGGAUGACGUCAAGUCCUCAUGGCCCUUACGUGUUGGGCUACACACGUGCUACAAUGGUAUCUACAACAGGAAGCAAGACUGCGAGGUCAAGCAAAUCCUUAAAAGAUACCUCAGUUCGGAUUGCACUCUGCAACUCGAGUGCAUGAAGCUGGAAUUACUAGUAAUCGUGGAUCAGCGUGCCACGGUGAAUGCGUUCCCGGGUCUUGUACACACCGCCCGUCACACCAUGGGAGUUGGUUCUACCUUAAGGCAAGGUUUCAAACCUUUGACCACGGUAUAGUCAGCGACUGGGGUGAAGUCGUAACAAGGUA
rnacentral:rRNA from 1 species